GUGCUCCCUUCAGCAGCACAUAUACUAAAAUUGGAACCAUACAGAGAAGAUUAGCAUGGCCCCUGCACAAGGAUGACAUGCAAAUUCGUGAAGCGUUCCAUAUAUUU
rnacentral:snRNA from 1 species